GGCUUACUUUCUGGUUAGUCUGCUCCUGGCUCUUCCCUGUGCUGCCCCUCUGUACUGAUGCCCAGUUAGGAGUCACAUGCACACCCUCUCCUGGCUCACUAGAGAAAAGCUGGCAGAAAUUUCAAAGGUUCUCUCUCAGAGAAAGAGACUGUGAACCUGGAAAUGGUCUGGGAGCACUGAGCUGGAGCUGUCCCCACGGUGGCUGGAGCAGCAUGGUAUGUGCCAGGGUGUGAGACCAUUCACUGGAGUGUGAUUGAUCUUCCUGGAGCUACCCCCUUAAAGAAAACUGACUCUUCUUCCUCCUGAGGCCAUCAACUGUUGGUAGUUCCUCAGUUAGGGGUGAAGUCUCGUGAACCACGUUCUACUUUACAACAGAGUCCUGGCUGGCUUGAUCUUGUACAGGGAAACUGGAUAUGCACAUCUCUAAGGCCAGCACUCCCACUUUGACAGGAAUGUCUGUUGUCCUCACGGAGUCUGGGCAAGGAUAGUCCUGACGUUGUUGACAAGAAGAAAGGGCUGGAGAGAAUCGAAACAGCCAGGGCAGUAGGAG